UUUUAAAAAUUUUCAUUUUUCAUCCAUUCAUUUAAAAAAAAUUCUCUAAACUCUCUCUAGCCCCCCUCCCUCUGAUCUUGGCUCCGGCCAAUGGCCACCGUGCCGGACUCCGGUCGCCGGCGUCGGCGCCGCCGCGCACGGUGGCCGGCGAAGGCAAAAAAGCUUAUUUUCUAGAUCUCGACCCCCUGAGCCCGGAUCUAGCCUCAAAACAACCGAAAAUAAAGGGGAAAAAGCCGCUAUUCCUCUCUUCAACCGGUUCCGUCACCGAAGAAGGAGUCUCCGAUGGCGAGAAGACGGAGCGACUCCCAGUGAGUUCCUUUUUCCCUUUUCUUAUUUUUUUUAUGUAAAAGAUAAAAUAAAAUAAGUAAAAUAAAAUAAACAAGCAGAAACGCAUAUAUGAAAAAAAGAAAGUCACCUUCAAAAAUCUAUUUUGUUUUUUUAUUUUCCUUAAUGUUCAUAGCCAAAAUGAAAGAAGAGAAAACUCUUCUUCUUUUACAGUAAACUCGGCUCUUGCCGAAAAGGAAAAAGAAAAAUCAAAGAAAAAUCCCCCCUACAAUCGUUUUGGAGAAAUGGCUUUAUAGCCGAAACUAAAAGGUCCUAUCUGUUUCUUUUUUCUUGUUUCUUCUUUGUUGCUUUUUUUGCUCCGUUUGUCCUUGCUGUUUUCUUGUGUUGCAGGUUCGGGCAAAGUCAACUUGCUGCAUUGGUGCAAGGUCGUACCAGAAGAGCAGACCUCGGGCGGUGGGCGUGCUGACAAUGCACAUGGGAGCAGCGGCGCGAGGCAAGGGCAGGGAACCCUAGGGUUCCCUGUGCUGUUUAAUUUUUGGGCCCCAAUGGGCCGUUUUAGAUUUUGGGCCUUGGGCUAUUAGGUAUUUGUUUUUGUAAUUGGGCCCAGGGUUAAUAUUUUUGGCACUAGGCUCGGGUAAAAUUGGGUCUGUACACCUAUAAGAUAAAUGAAAAUGACAUCCGGGUUUGAGUAACAUAGGACUUCACUCUUUUUUUUUUUUUAACAAAAAAGAAAAAAAAGUAAACAUAAAGUUUACUUUAGUGAAUGCAACUCAGGCAUAUUAUAUAUUUGUUAGCAUUGGUCAUCUCCUAAUUCUUUUACUUUGCAUAGGAAGUCUUAAUAUUAAUUUCUAUAUAUGGCUUUUACUUGAUAAUAUAUGAAGAUUAUUUUUAAGAUGUUUUACAUGUAUUGUCUUAUAUUCCAAUCUGGCAUUUUGAAAUAUGAAUUUCUCUGUCAAAGGUUCUUCAUAAAGAUAUUUUCUUAUUACGGUUUAAUUUGUUUUUUCUUGUUAGCAUGGUUGUGUUAUCUUUGCUAUGCUUUCAGGACAUCAAAAGAACUCAAAGGUGGUUUCUCCUAUCAAACCUGAAGAGCGAAAAUCGUCGUCACUUAUUGAAGUGCCUGCAUUAUUAGAAGAACUGAAAGAAAAGACAGACAAUUUCGGAUCAAAUGCUUUAAUUGGGGAGGGUUCCUACGGAAGAGUUUAUUAUGCAAACUUGAAUGAUGGAAAAACUGUGGCUGUUAAAAAGCUUGAUGUUUCCACUUAGCCCAAUACUCUUUUGUCUUAGAUUUGUUUAUAUUCUGAUAUGUAAUUUGGGGUCUUUUACAGGAUGCUGAAGAGUGUUGGACACAACUUUUAUACACCCUUUCUCAGUCUCUUCGACCAGCUGGUUCUAGUUCAUUGGCAGGGAAGAGGAAAGCAAAGUUUUAUAAAUACUGGAGCAAUGUAAUUUAGCAUUGGCAGUAUCAUCUAUAUCUUACAUCCCCUAACCGUCGAAGCUCACUGAAUUGAUAUGCACACAAGAUUGGCUGCAGAUGCAAUCAGAUGGUUUGAUUGUGGCAUGUUUAUGUUAAAAUAUAUCGACUUCUAUAGCAGAGGCUUAAGUCUUUGUUUUGAGCAGGAACACAUGCCCUAUUUUCGUUUAAGGACCGCCAAGGAAAUUCUGAAACUAAAAGCUGAUUGAUCGGAUGUGUAUGCCAGCUUUCAUCAACUACUUUCGAAGGCCUUACUAGGAAUUGAAAUGGUGUGCAAAGAGAUUGCUUCUUCUGAUCUGAUUUUUCAAUAUUAAUACUGGACAAAGUAUGGAUAUAUCUUGUCAGUUGCAUUUACUGCUGUUAGUAAAAUAGGAUUCUCUUCUUAGGAUCUUAGUUUCUUCACUUGUAUUAGACUCAACAAUGGCUUGCAUUGCAUUGCAUUGGUGUUGAUUUUACAAUUUUUAAUUUUUAUUAAUUAUUUACGUUUUCUCA